rnacentral:rRNA from 1 species
GAUGAACGCUGGCGGCGUGCCUAAUACAUGCAAGUCGAGCGAACGGACGAGAAGCUUGCUUUUCUGAUGUUAGCGGCGGACGGGUGAGUAACACGUGGAUAACCUACCUAUAAGACUGGGAUAACUUCGGGAAACCGGAGCUAAUACCGGAUAAUAUUUUGAACCGCAUGGUUCAAAAGUGAAAGACGGUCUUGCUGUCACUUAUAGAUGGAUCCGCGCUGCAUUAGCUAGUUGGUAAGGUAACGGCUUACCAAGGCAACGAUGCAUAGCCGACCUGAGAGGGUGAUCGGCCACACUGGAACUGAGACACGGUCCAGACUCCUACGGGAGGCAGCAGUAGGGAAUCUUCCGCAAUGCGCGAAAGCCUGACGGAGCAACGCCGCGUGAGUGAUGAAGGUCUUCGGAUCGUAAAACUCUGUUAUUAGGGAAGAACAUAUGUGUAAGUAACUGUGCACAUCUUGACGGUACCUAAUCAGAAAGCCACGGCUAACUACGUG